CAGACAAUGGCCUGCAAGAGAAAGGAAGAAUACAAAAUGGAAGCCUGGGAUAGAGAUCAUCUCCUAGGAAAGGGGGAGGCCACCCAAGGCCUGUCAGGGGGAGGGCUCCACUUCUCAGCCCAUCUGCAGUAGGUCCACAUUCGGGGUAGGCAAGAGCAAGGCCUGCUGGAAAGGGAAACUGCUCAUCAAGAAACUGAGGGAGGCUGGGCACGGUGGUUCAUGCCUGUAAUCCCAGCACUCUGGAAGUCCAAGCAGCACUGGCUCCUUCUUAGUCCCAUGGAAGCACAGAUCAACAUCAUUGCCCUUGCAAACUUCUCUCAGCUUAGGAGAGUCUACUCGCUCUUUGCACAUUGUUGACAUGAAAUGAAUAUUAAACACCAAACCUCAUAGAGGCCAGCCCUGCUGGGCGAGCAAUGAACCAACCCUCCUCAUGCCUGUUCAUUAUUAUAAUUAACAUUGAGCCGAGGUUGGUGGUGACCUCGCCCUCGCCAGGUAUUUGGGCUGUUUUAGCAGCUUAUUCAGAUCAGUGACAGACAGCUCUGAAUAGAUAAACUCCCCGCCAUCCAGACGAAUCAAUUGCAACACUGCCGUCACAACAAGCCCAAUAAAUCAAUCUGAU
rnacentral:lncRNA from 1 species